rnacentral:rRNA from 1 species
CCCUUAGAUGUUCUGGGCCGCACGCGCGCUACACUGACGAAUGCAACGAGCUUAUAACCUUGGCCGAAAGGUCUGGGUAAUCUCCAAAUAUCGUCGUGAUGGGGAUAGAUUAUUGCAAUUAUUAAUCUUCAACGAGGAAUGCCUAGUAAGCGCAAGUCAUCAGCUUGCGUUGAUUACGUCCCUGCCCUUUGUACACACCGCCCGUCGCUCCUACCGAUUGAAUGGUCCGGUGAAGCGUUCGGACCGUGGCCUUUGGACGGUUCGCCGUCUGUUGGCUGCGGGAAGUUCGUUAAACCUUAUCAUUUAGAGGAAGGAGAAGUCGUAACA